rnacentral:rRNA from 1 species
GAUGAACGCUGGCGGCGUGCCUAAUACAUGCAAGUCGAGCGAACAGACGAGGAGCUUGCUCCUCUGACGUUAGCGGCGGACGGGUGAGUAACACGUGGAUAACCUACCUAUAAGACUGGGAUAACUUCGGGAAACCGGAGCUAAUACCGGAUAAUAUAUUGAACCGCAUGGUUCAAUAGUGAAAGACGGUUUUGCUGUCACUUAUAGAUGGAUCCGCGCCGCAUUAGCUAGUUGGUAAGGUAACGGCUUACCAAGGCAACGAUGCGUAGCCGACCUGAGAGGGUGAUCGGCCACACUGGAACUGGGACACGGUCCAGACUCCUACGGGAGGCAGCAGUAGGGAAUCUUCCGCAAUGGGCGAAAGCCUGACGGAGCAACGCGGCGUGAGUGAUGAAGGUCUUCGGAUCGUAAAACUCUGUUAUUAGGGAAGAACAAAUGUGUAAGUAACUAUGCACGUCUUAACGGUACCUAAUCAGAAAGCCACGGCUAACUACGU